UUUGAGACCGGCGCACGGGUGAGUAACGCGUAUGCAACCUACCUUAUACAGGGGAAUAGCCCGAAGAAAUUCGGAUUAAUGCUCCAUGGUUUAUCGAUAUGGCAUCGUAUUGAUAAUAAAGAUUUAUCGGUAUAAGAUGGGCAUGCGUAUCAUUAGCUAGUUGGUGUGGUAACGGCAUACCAAGGCGACGAUGAUUAGGGGUCCUGAGAGGGAGAUCCCCCACACUGGUACUGAGACACGGACCAGACUCCUACGGGAGGCAGCAGUGAGGAAUAUUGGUCAAUGGAGGCAACUCUGAACCAGCCAUGCCGCGUGCAGGAUGACGGUCCUAUGGAUUGUAAACUGCUUUUGUACAGGAAGAAACCUCCCUACGUGUAGGGACUUGACGGUACUGUAAGAAUAAGGAUCGGCUAACUCCGUGCCAGCAGCCGCGGUAAUACGGAGGAUCCGAGCGUUAUCCGGAAUUAUUGGGUUUAAAGGGUUCGUAGGCGGCUUUGUAAGUCAGUGGUGAAAUUUCCUAGCUUAACUAGGACACUGCCAUUGAUACUGCAGAGCUUGAAUAAUAUGGAAGUAACUAGAAUAUGUAGUGUAGCGGUGAAAUGCUUAGAUAUUACAUGGAAUACCAAUUGCGAAGGCAGGU
rnacentral:rRNA from 1 species